rnacentral:rRNA from 1 species
AACGAACGCUUGCGGCAGGCUUAACACAUGCAAGUCGAACGGGAUUUUCGGAUCUAGUGGCAGACGGGUGAGGAACACGUGGGAACAUCCCUUUCAGUUCGGAAUAACGUUGGGAAACUAACGCUAAUACCGGAUACGUCCUUCGGGAGACAGAUUUAUCGCUGAAAGAUUGGCCCGCGUCUGAUUAGCUAGUUGGUGAGGUAAUGGCUCACCAAGGCUACGAUCAGUAGCUGAUCUGAGAGGAUGAUCAGCCACCUUGGGACUGAGACACGGCCCAAACUCCUACGGGAGGCAGCAGUGGGGAAGAUUGGACAAUGGGCGCAAGCCGGAUCCAGCCAUGCCGCGUGAGUGAUGACGGCCUUCGGGUUGUAAAGCUCUUUUGUCCGGGAAGAUAAUGACUGUACCGGAAGAAUAAGCCCCGGCAAACUUCGUGCCAGCCGCCGCCGUAA